ACACCUACGGGGGGCAGCAGUGGGGAAUAUUGGACAAUGGGGGGAACCCUGAUCCAGCGACGCCGCGUGAGUGAAGAAGUAUUUCGGUAUGUAAAGCUCUAUCAGCAGGGAAGAAAGAAAUGACGGUACCUGACUAAGAAGCCCCGGCUAACUACGUGCCAGCAGCCGCGGUAAUACGUAGGGGGCAAGCGUUAUCCGGAUUUACUGGGCGUAAAGGGAGCGCAGGCGGCACGGCAAGUCCGGUGUGAAAGCCCGGGGCCCAACCCCGGGACUGCACUGGAAACUGCCGGGCUGGAGUGUCGGAG
rnacentral:rRNA from 1 species